rnacentral:misc_RNA from 1 species
UGGGUGAUUUCGGGGAUGUCUACCGUAAAGGUGCAUGAGUGGUGUUUGGUUUGUUACGGGUGGUUGGCUAUUUGCUUGCGCAACAACUUCCACCUGGCAUACCUCUUCAGUCUUGUGUCAAUGCUUAAAUCGCAUUGAACGCACAGUGGGUUUCUUGUGUUGCAUACCUAAUUGAUGGUAUCAUUUGAAUAAUUAAUGUCCAUUUUCGUCUUGUGUUGCACAUGCAAUGUGAGAUGAACCUUGAAGCAGCCUUUGUGUUCCACUCUUUCGAUGCACACACAUUGAUUUUGUGGCCCAUUGAGUGUUGCUUGGUCUCGGAUAUGGAACAUCAUGUGGGCAUGGGAUCUUUACUAGUUCUUUGUUUGCCCCAGUUUAGCUUUUCUAACACGAUUNUCUAUCAUGUCUUAACGUGGUAGCGUAUAUCGAAUA